rnacentral:RNase_P_RNA from 1 species
CGAGUGUGCUACGCGGUCGCGGCGUACUUUGGUACGAUGAGGAAAGUCCGGGCAUCGCAGGGCAGGACGCCGGAUAACGUCCGGUGAAGGCGACUUUAAGGAAAGUGCAACAGAAAUAAACCGCCGCGUUUAGCGGUAAGGAUGGAAAGGCGAGGUAAGAGCUCACCGACGGGACGGUAACGCCCCGUGCCAUGUAAACCCCGUCCGAUGCAAGUUUGGGCUCUAUUCACACGGGUUGCCCGCCCGAGUAGAGCCGUGAAUAACGCUAGAGCCUAUCGGCAACGGUAGGCGUAGAUAAAUGACCGCGCACGACAGAACCCGGCUUAUCGGCACAUCUCGGAUA